GCGGUCGUGGCGAAGUGGUUAACGCACCGGAUUGUGGCUCCGGCACUCGUGGGUUCGAUUCCCACCGAUCGCC
rnacentral:tRNA from 3 species